GAUGAACGCUGGCGGCGUGCCUAAUACAUGCAAGUCGAGCGAACGGACGAGAAGCUUGCUUCUCUGAUGUUAGCGGCGGACGGGUGAGUAACACGUGGAUAACCUACCUAUAAGACUGGGAUAACUUCGGGAAACCGGAGCUACUACCGGCUAAUAUUUUGAACCGCAUGGUUCAAAAGUGAAAGACGGUCUUGCUGUCACUUAUAGAUGGAUCCGCGUUGCAUUAGCUAGUUGGUAAGGUAACGGCUUACCAAGGCAACGAUGCAUAGCCGACCUGAGAGGGUGAUCGGCCACACUGGAACUGAGACACGGUCCAGACUCCUACGGGAGGCAGCAGUAGGGAAUCUUCCGCAAUGGGCGAAAGCCUGACGGAGCAACGCCGCGUGAGUGAUGAAGGUCUUCGGAUCGUAAAACUCUGUUAUUAGGGAAGAACAUAUGUGUAAUUAACUGUGCACAUCUUGACGGUACCUAAUCAGAAAGCCACGGCUAACUACGUG
rnacentral:rRNA from 1 species